AAAUGGCCGCAGUAUUUUAACUGUGCAAAGGUAGCAUAAUCAUUAGUCUUUUAAUUGAAGGCUUGUAUGAACGGUUGGACGAGAUAUUAACUGUUUCAUAAAAAUUGAGUUAGAAUUUUAUUUUUUAGUUAAAAAGCUAAAAUUUUUUUAAAAGACGAGAAGACCCUAUAGAUCUUUAUAUUUUGUAUAUUAUAAUUAUUUAGAUUACUUAAGUUAUGAUUAUAUAAAGUAUUUUGUUGGGGUGACAUUAAAAUUUAAUUAACUUUUAAUUAAUAUUUACAUUAAUUUAUGAAUUUUUGAUCCAUUAAUAAUGAUUAAAAAAUUAAGUUACCUUAGGGAUAACAGCGUAAUUUUUUUGAAGAGUUCAUAUCGAUAAAAAAGAUUGCGACCUCGAUGUUGGAUUAAGAUAUAAUUUUGGGUGCAGCAAUUCAACUAUUAAGUC
rnacentral:rRNA from 1 species